UACGUAGGGUGCAGGCGUUGUCCGGAAUUAUUGGGCGUAAAGAGCUCGUAGGCGGUCUGUCACGUCGGCUGUGAAAUCCCGAGGCUCAACCUCGGGUCUGCAGUCGAUACGGGCAAACUAGAGUAUUGCAGGGGAGACUGGAAUUCCUGGUGUAGCGGUGAAAUGCGCAGAUAUCAGGAGGAACACCGGUGGCGAAGGCGGGUCUCUGGGCAACAACUGACGCUGAGGAGCGAAAGCGUGGGGAGCAAACAGG
rnacentral:rRNA from 1 species